AGCCAAAAACACUACUAAUUAUGACCAAGGGACGGGGGUAAAUUACUAUAUAAAAUGGACAUAUCAGAUUUCUUAUGGUGUUAGGAGAGGGGCAACCCAACAAAAAAUUGUGGUUAACCUGCUAGACAGAACUUGCAGUUACAUGACUUGGCAAGUUAGUGGUAUACCUUGCAAGCAUGCUGUUGUUGCAAUUUGGAGCAAGGUGGAUGAACCCGAGCCGUAUGUAAUUUAUUACGUCACAAAGACUACCUAUUUGAAAACUUAUGAUUAUUUACUUGAACCUCUGAAUGGUCCAAAAGAAUGGCCAAGGUCUAAUGAUGUUGUUAUCCCUCCCAAACUGAAAAAAGUUCAACAUAGACCUAACGUUAAGAGAAGAUUGCACCAGGGAAACGAAGGAAGAAAGGUGUUUCCGUGCACUGCAGCCUAUGAGGGAUGUAAGGACAUAAUAAAAAAGGUUUCAAGAAUGUCUCUGAAGGUCCAAGCAACAACAGAUCUCAGUCUAACUUAGCCCUGAUAACAUACAACAGCCAUAGAUGUAGGGCCAUGAUGUAGGAACAAUCCUAUUACCAUGCACAUGAGAGGGAUGGGAUCAUAUACCUACCCUAAUGGCUAUCAAAGAAUUGCAACAAUAAGUUACUUUGUUUGAAGCAAUUGUAAUGCCAUAUAAUCCUAAACUACAUAUCUAAUGUCACUAAUAUAUAUACUGAUAUGCAGCCUGUUCAAAGAGCUUACUACAGGGACAAUGGGGGUGGUGAACAAACAGUGUACUGUGUCAUCCAAGAUGAGUACCCAUCAUCAAGCUAGCCUUCCCAAACUCAAAACACAAUAUCAAGUCAGGCAUUGCAGGACAUGGCAAGGGAAAGGAGGCAUCACAAGCACUAGGAGCAGCAACAUGGACAAACAGCUCAGAUUAGUUGUGCAGAAAUAAUGGAUGUAAUGGAGUAUAUAUACAACUGCUGCCUUUUUUUUUUUGAUUUUUUUUAUCAAACAAUAUUUUGUAAUGGCUACUUUUUAGGAACAAAAAAAAAUAGAGAUUUCUAAAUAAAGUUUAGGGAGCUUUUAAAAAGUUUAGGGAGCUCUUAUAAAGUAUAGGGAGUUCUUGUAUUUUACCUGAUGUAGUUUGUCAAAACUAUCCAUAGUGAGAGAUUUGCAAUUUUUGAAAGUUUAGUGAGUGAUCUGUAACUUUGUGCUAAGUUUAAGGAGUGAUUGUGUAGUUUAAUCUGUUACUUGUGCAGGUUUUGUACAACUUUUUAAAUUUUUUUUAUGUAAUAAAAAAAAUAUGCAAAAUGCGGCAAUAGUUGUACUAGUUUAUGUCAUUUUAUGCAGGCAUAAAUAGCUCUAUUUACAAAAAUUGUGUCUUAUACUCUUAUUUCAAAACACUUAUUGCAAUAGUCCAAACUAAAAAUCGCAUUUCUUACCUAAGAGUUAGCUCUUAUAUUUUCUCUCUCCUUAAGAACUACCUAAGAAACCCCCAUUAUUAAUGCUUUUAUUGACAAAGUAUUACAAUGGACUCUAGGUCACGAGUUCAAUACACUCCAUCUAUAUUUAGGCUUCAUUUUUUUGAACGAGAAGCAAUAAUAUCAUUAAAUAAUAGUCAUACGACAUCUACAAUAAUAAAGUCUAUAAAACACAGAUUUAGAUAAAAUAUCACAACUUUUACAAUCAAAAUCAUAACUAAUUUGUAUAUUUGGCAUAACUCAUACUCCACCGCUUUAAGCUUGACUCGAGCAAUGAUUUUUGAUGUGUUUGCAUCUUUCCCAGUAGAGACUUUCACAUUAUAUGUUAAUAUUUUGAUCGAAAAGUUGAUGACAAAUCCUAGACCCAUAGGAAUCCAAAUCACCUUUCGACUUAUUAUAAGAACCCUAAAAAUAAAUUCUCGUCUACGGAUAAGAAUCAAAAUCCAGAAAAUUGGGAAAAACCCAGAACAUUGGGACAUAUAUACUAUCUCAUAUGGAACAGUGAGAACAAAAAAAAAAAUAAAUAAAAAAAAAAAGAAUUGAUUUAAAGAAAAAAGGUCGGAAAUAAUCUUAUUUCUAAAGAAAUCAGACUAUUUCAGGCUAAAACG